AGGGGCUGUUCCUUGGGACACUGGCUGUGUGAGCAGGAGGGGCGGGGGAGAGGCCGGGUGUAAUGUGUUUUCUUGGGAAGGCCGCUUGUUCGGAAGUCUGAGAAGCUGUGAAAAUAGUUGUACAUGCAGUUCCCUCCCCGUAGCCUCUGGACAGGGUUCGGGAUGGGAACAAGAAAGAUGAAGUCAGCUCCCAGUAGGAGGGCCUCUGGCUCGGCCUGUUCCCGCUGCCAGGAACUGCAAACAAGGUUUUCAUUCAUCCAUCCUUGAGAAAGGCAUUGAGGACCUACUGUGUGCUGCUCACCGUCGGAGCCGGGCGGAUGGAAGACACAACACCUGCCCCACCCCCUCGGAACCGGAAAUACUCAACACGAGCGUGGGAAGUUGGGAUUUGGGUUAAGUGUGCCGAGGACACAGCCAGGAAGCUGGGAUGAGACGAAUGCAGGGAGGAGGCUACUUAGAGGAGCAAUCCAGGAGGACCUCUCCGUGGAGGUGACUUUUAGACAAGACAAGGAGGAGGAGAAGGAUCCGCCGGGAAGGGCAGGAGCAGGUGGCUGGAACUAAGGCAGGGGUGGCCCACGCCAGGCAGAGGGACUGUCUGGAUCUCAGUGCCCACCAGGGGCCUCUUCCCGUGCAUUUUACAGAAUUCCUGGACAGCUGACUCAAAUGAGAGGACUUAUAAAGAAGAGUCAUCGUUGCCACCAGCCUGAGUUGAGCAAAGCUGCUGGACCCUGCCAGAAAACCCCCGUUUCCAACUCACAGGGGGCCCCGCAGAACUGUCAGGCCGGCGCUGGUGAAAACAAAUUAGUCAGGAGCAGCAACACCUGCAGGACCCGGAGCCAGCUCUCCCGGCCAGGGAGUUGGAGAACCACAGGGUGUAAUUCCGUCUGAGUCCAACGGCCCUAGAACCAAGGGAGCCCAGAGUGUCAAUCCCAGUCCAAGAGCAGGAAAGGACAAGUUCAGCAAGACAAACAGGACAGAAUCCCAGGGACUGUGCUCAUGAUGUGUGUCUUAGUCUAUUUGGGCUGCUCUAACAAAACACCUGAGACUGAGUAAUAUAUAAACGACGGAAAUGUAUUGCCCUCGGUUCUGGAGGCUGGGAAGUCCAAGAUCAAGGCGCUGGUGGAUUCCAUGUCUGGUGAGGACCUGCUCUCUGCUUCCUGGAUGGCGCCUCCUUGCUCUGUCCCCAUGUGGCGAGACAGGCCCGGCAUGCUGAUGCUCGUGGACAGACAGGGGAUCCAAGGCCCUUGCCCCGCCAGCCCCAGGCCCAGAACUGCCGAUCGGCCAGAUAUGUCUGAGUGAACAGGAGCAGCUCUCCGAGGCCUCGGCCCAGCGGGCGGCCAGGGAAGACUGACGCAGGUGGACACACGGCCAGGAGCAGAGCCAGAAGCUCCUGGUACUCCCGGCCCCGGCGCUGAGCUGGGCUGGCUGAUUGGCAGGGACACUCAGGGUCACUGGCCGGCUGGACCUCAGGGGUGCCCAGGGCAGAUCAAAGGCGGAUGGUGCCCAGGUGCUGGAAACCACGGUUGAAAAGGAAUUCGGGGGUGGGGCUUCCUUCCCUGGGCUGGACAUUUUCCAGAUUUUCCAGGACAGCCCUGGCCUGGGUUGAGCUUUCGUGAAUACCCAGGAGGUCAAAGAGAAGGCAGCUCUGGGCUCAAACUGUGGCUCCGUUCGCUGUGGGGGGCCCUGUCCUUCUCCCUUCUCAACGCCAUGUCCCCAAAGUGCAUUCUACCCAAAUGAUGACACCAGGCCCGGGACUUGCGUUUCCCUAGCCCGUGAUUGGCUCACCAGCGGCCAGGUGAUCCAGUGGUAGUAAAGCCCGCUGGGCCUUCUGGGAAUGCUCCCCUUGUCCUGAGGAGGGACAAGGUGGACCCCAAGGCUGUCAGAUGCAAGUUAGAAAGAACUCACGAUGUUGACGAUGACGCUGCACCCACGGCUGUAUCACAAAGGAAACCCAAUCCUCGGGUUUCCUGUUAUGUGAAGUCAGGACCUUUCUCUUGUUUAAAGCACCGGGAGCCUGCCUGGGUUGUGCCACCUGUAACUUGCAGCCUAAAGCAUCCUAAGUGACAGACUAGCGCGGUAUUUCCCUUCUCCAAGCGUCGACAGAGAUCGCAAUGCCUACGCCCGGCGUCGCUGUGAGGAGUCACGACGUGAUGUGUGUCGCACUCGGUAAACAUCAUUGUAAUUGUCA